ACGUCCAUAUAAGGUUGGGACACAUGUUCCCGCACGAUCACCGAAGUUAAGCAACAUCGAGCCUGGUCAGUAUCUCGAUGGGUGACCACUUGGGAAUAACUGGUGCUGUAA